rnacentral:lncRNA from 1 species
GCAGAUCUGUGAGUAAGGAGCCAGCUGCAGGCAAGCAGCUCGAGGGCAGGUGGGCAUGAUGUCUGGCUACCACUCGCACUGGACGCCACACACACAGCCAGGGUGGCAGAAGGCCCCACCUGCCAUGUGCCAGUGGGACACCACCCUCAUGGUCUGCGUUUCCAGGUUUCCAACUAAGGACUGAGCACACUCUCAACAUGGACCUCCUAACUGCUCUCGAGGAUGGACAGCUGGCCUCAAGGGAACACUGCAAAGUGGCUCUAGGAAGAAGCCACUGUCCCUCCAGACCAUAAAAAUGGCUACCAAGGGCAGAGCCAGCAGCUUUCGCUGUAAAGUUUCUCAAGAAAAUCACAGAUAUUCCCCUCUGUGAUGUUCAGCUCAGCCUGGAAAGGAGGACGCUGAACUAAACAGAAGAGAAACAGGGAAAUAAACAGCAUGGCAACCUACAUCAACAGAAACUUAAUUAUUCACCCUGGAUAACUGAGUGUGUGAGUGUGACUGCAAAUAACAAUAUAGCAAAGAGAAGUUUGAGAUCUUUGGCUCAGUCAUUCUAGAAUCCUGAGUCACAGCAAAUGCACAGCCUCCAUGAGGCUGAGCCACACAUGAAAGCUGCUUCCACCCACAGACUGGUAGAGGCCACUGACAUGCUUAACGAUGAUGAUGAUGAUAAAAAUAGCUACCACGGGCUACCACGUGCACACACAUGUUAAGCAGUUCAAACAGGUUAUUUUGUUUAAUUCAUACCACAAAUCUUUGAGGUAAGUAUUCUUGUUCCCGUUUUAUAGAGGUAGAAACUGAGAGUUGAAGAGGCUGAAUAAUUUCUCAAGCACACUCCCAACUCGACCACCCACAAGCAAAAAGGCAGAGCUGGGAUUCAAACACAGGUAUGACUGUGUGUGGACAUCUCCCCUGUGCUAUGCUCCCUGAAGGAAAAUUCUAAGUGGUGUUGUUUCUGGGAGAAAUCUACCUGUGUGGUCUUUAAACCUACUCUGACAGGAGCAAGGGCCACCACUCUGUAUCUAAGACCACUGGGAACAGUCUUCAGGCAACAAGGUGACCAGGGCAGCUGCAGAGGGUAUCUAUGCCCCUGCCCCCUAGCGCAAAAGUCUGUUUCUCUUUCCAAAUGGCCCGCUGGGAGCAACUAUUUAGGGAGACCAUACCUCCUCCCACACUCAGUUCCCAGGCCUGAGCCACAGAGUCCUGCCACAGGAGGGAGGACCUGCCUGUCCUGCUCCCUCCCCACUCCAGGUUCCUGGAGGCCUCUGUGAUGAUUCCCCAGGAAGGACUACAGGAUCUGGCAGGCAGCAGGUGGCGGUGGGAGGAGGAGAGUCCUGGGAGCACAGCACUCCUAACCCCCUCUGCCUCUCACAGAACAAAGAGGGAGUCAUGCCAUGUCCCCUGCUCCCACAAAUGCCCCACCCAGAGGGGCUAAUGCCUAGGAUUGAGGGUCUUGUGUGCUGAGGAAGUCCUGUCCCCCAAUCCCCUACAAAAGCCAGAACCAGCUACUAAGGGGUUAGACACAGACAGAACUGUCUAUAUUAACAUUUCCUCCUAAAAAACAACAGGAAUCCUGGGGAAAGACCACUGGCCUGGGACUCCAUGAGCCCUGGCUUCUAUCUCUGGCUUUAUCAGGUGACCAUAGGCAAGUCACCUAGCCUCCAUGGUCUAGGCUCUCCUGCCUGUUGGGUGGGAAUCAUUACAUAUCACAAUCAUUACAGCUGACCUUCAGGGAGGCUGUACUCUGGGUCAGGAAUUGUGUUGGGUGCAUUAUCAUAUUUAUUCUCACAGCACCCUUUGCAGUAGCUACUAUUUUCAUACCCAUUCUCAGAUGAGGAAACUGUGGAACAGGCUGGUUAGGGGACAUGCCCAAAGUGACAAACUUAGCAAAGGUGGACCUGGCACUCAGUACCACAUCUGUUUUUCCAUGCUCUUAACCACUGUAACAUACAGAGCCCUUUUACAGAGAUCAAGGACAGAGGUAAAAGUGUUUUGAAAGCAAAAAAAAAAAAGUGGGGAGGAUGCAUAAAAUAAACAUAAAUCACCCCCUGCCCCGCCCAGACAUAAUUCAGGGAAGAGUCCUAACCCCCAAGAACCUUCUGUGGAACUUAUUCGCAACAUCAGAGACCUCCAACAUAGAAAUGACCCUCAAUAAGUCAUUCCUCUUUCCCUUCAGGCAGGAAUAAUAUAACUAACUGAAUUAUACAGGUGAGACCACGAAGGUCAAGCAAGGGUGACCAGCUUAGGCCCCUGGCUGGCAGGUAAGGAGGAGACUGACCCCAGCCUCCUGGCUCCUAGGGGAGGAAACAGUGAUGACAAAGGCCCCUUUGCAUGGCCAAGGUGGAGCCCUUUCUACCAAAGUUUAAACGUUUUAGUAUAAUAUCCAAGUGCAUCUUUUCCAACCUUAAAAACAUAUUUAAUUUCCUUAUAAAGCUGGUUGGCACUCUCCUCCUCCUCCAAAGCUCUGUAUUAGGCAGGGUUCAUAGUUGUAGACAACAGAAUGAACAGUGGUUAGUUCAGCCAGAAAAGGGAUGAUAUAGGAGGAUACUGGGUUGAUCAAAGGCUCUCUGGGAGGGCUGCAGAUUUAGAGCCAGUCAGCCAGGAACGAUGCCUGAAACAUACCUUAGAGCUGGAGAAAGAACAAAACCCUACCUUUCUUCAAUAGCUGGCAAGGUGGCAAGGUCUGGCCCCAUGCAGCCUGGGCUCUUCCCACUCUCCUCUCUCCCUAAUGCGUUGCCCUACUCGCUGCUUCCCAGGCAAUCCCACCUCAGGUCUAUGAACUUGCCAUUCCCUCUGCCUGCAACCUAGACAUUCACAUUGCUAGCUCCCUGGCUAGCUCAAAUGCCAGGUUUCUGCACAAAUGCUCCUCCUUAGAGAGGCCUUCCUGGACCUCUAGGUCUCUGGCCCUAGUACUCUAUCCCCUCUCCCUGCUUUCCUCUUCUACUUCACUGCUCCUUAACAUUGUGUUAUACAUUGUCUGUCUCCCCAACUGGAAUGUAAGUGGCACCAGGGCAGGGACUUGGGUUGUUUUGUUCCUUGCUGUAAGCCCAGGGCCCAGGGCCAGACCUGGAACAAUUAGGUGCUAAGUUAUUUGCUGAAUAUUCUAUGAAGGAAUGACAAAGGAAUGCAUAAAGAACUUCAAAGUUCAACUCCUCGAACUUCAAACUUCAAAUCCCCAACUCCUCCUGCCUAUGCUGGACGAUUAGGGCAGUAACAGGAGUCAACUUGUGCUGUGCUGUCACCUUGCCUGGAUCCGCAUCAGCCCUGCAGCUCCCACUUUGGAGGAGACUUGCCCAGGGACCUACAGCUCUGAAGCUUCUCUGACAGCCUCUGCAGCUCUUGGAACUUAUCUGGGCUGCUGCUGUGCAGACCAUGGAUGCAUAGCUGAGUUCCUGCCCCUGAUUUCCUAGAGUCUCAGAAAGACAGGGAAGUGACUUACCCAAAGUCCCCUUUCACCCUAUAAACAGUUCAGCCCAGGGAGUGAGGCUGACACGCAAAUGCAGCUAUGUAUAGACUCAGAGUCAUCCAAGGUCAGGGCUGGGUGGAGCCUUGGUCACAUGCAGGCCAACCUGUGUCUGGAGAUAAUGCAAGCCAGUGCAGGGGUUAGCGUGUACAUGGACUCUGGAGUCUGGCAGAUCUAAGCCCCACCCACCAACCUGUGACCUUGGAGAAUUAUUUGAAAAGACAUUAUUUGAAAAGCAGAUGUAAAAUGGAAAUAAAAGUUCCUAUUUAAAACAGUCAGUUGUCCCCCAUU